AAACCAGCACCUCAAGUGGUCAGGAGGAUUAUUGGGCCUAAAGCAUCCGUAGCCUGUUCUAUAAGUUUCCGGUUAAAUCCAUUAGCUCAACUAAUGGGCUGCCGAAAAUACUGUAGAACUAGGGAGUGGGAGAGGUAGACGGUAUUCGGUAGGAAGGGGUAAAAUCCUUUGAUCUAUUGAGGACCACCUGUGGCGAAGGCGGUCUACCAGAACACGAUCGACGGUGAGGGAUGAAAGCUGGGGGAGCAAACCGGAUUAGAAACCCGAGUAGUCC
rnacentral:rRNA from 1 species